GCAAAGACAGAAUAGAAGAUGGGAACAGGUCGAUGGUACAAAGGUUUAGAUCUCAACUGACCCAUCAGAUGGAUGCCUUGCAUAAAACCGUAUCAAGUUCUGUUGCAGUUCUAUCAUGCAACAGAAGGACCACCUUAAUGAAAUGAAACAUGAAAGUGGUUAGAGCCGAAGGUCUUGUUGAAAGACAGAAUAGAAGAUGGGAACAGGUCGAUGGUACAAAGGUUUAGAUCUCAACUGACCCAUCUCAAACGGAGAGGAAUUUCGAAUUGUGGCAGGUGCUGCCUCCACCUGGUAACGGUGGGCUGAAAUACUAUGGUUGUGAGCAGUAAAUUCGACCAAAUCAUCUGCUCCACAGAAGCCAUCAACGCCUCGACCGGACAGUGACAUAGGUGAUCCACAGAUACUUCAUGUACACAGCAAAAGAUUUGGAAGAGUGGUCAGAAAAUCAUGAUUCCUUUCGCCACGAGCAGAAUUUGGUUCAGUGGACUGAGAAAAAACGGCGAUAUGUUGAAGCCUUUUUUAUCGUGGUUGUGAGUCUAUUGAAUGCUUUAAUGCUCAAAUUAUCAUGUGUCACUUCAGCUUUUAGCUCCAAUUGUUUUUGUUCUUCGUGAAGCUAUGUCUGUUUGGAAGAUCAAAAUUAUUUUAGGCGUGUGCUAUUUCUUCUGUUCCCGAUCCUUCCUACAUAUUGUAGCCACUUGUGGUUCCAUUUUCAUGCUUCCUAUGUACAACGUGGGUGCACAUAUCGCUUAUCUUGGUAUUUUAUUGUCCUAUUCUUUCUUUUUUGUUUCAGUAUAUUCAGUAUGUGCACUCUCAUUUUUGCUCAUAUGGCCCUGCAGCUAACCAAUGGUGUCGGUAAGGAUUUUGUCAUCAACAAUGGUGCAUGCUCUUGUUUCAC